rnacentral:lncRNA from 1 species
GGCCAUAUUCAAUGGCAAUUUUUUCUUUCGAGGUGGAUUUGUGAGGCAGAUUCCAAAUCCAGCUCGUCCAGCAUUAAAGGAGAGACUGAUCGUAAAAGGUUAUGUGGUGGCCGAGAAUGUGGCAGUAGCAUGUCACAAUCAUCUUGUGCUCGCCGAUCUAUCGGUCACAAAGUGCUUCGGAAAACUUUCGAUUGCAACAGCAGUUGUCCAGACGGUGGGGAGACGUUUGCUGCGCGUCCUCGUGGAGAGGAUACACUUCUACGUGCACUGCAACUUAAUUGGCAGAUGACGUGAGAGGAUACAAUUCAUUCUUUUGCAUACGGUUGUUGGGGUACGCUUUCAUCGCUUGAAAACAGCGUGAAAAAAGGAAGAAAAGCAAUCAAUUGUAGAAGCAUGAAAAUCUCGAUUUGAUGAUC